rnacentral:rRNA from 1 species
UACGGGGGGGGGCAAGCGUUGUUCGGAAUUACUGGGCGUAAAGGGCUCGUAGGCGGCCAACUAAGUCAGACGUGAAAUCCCCUCGGCUUAACCGGGGAACUGCGUCUGAUACUGGAUGGCUUGAGUUUGGGAGAGGGAUGCGGAAUUCCAGGUGUAGCGGUGAAAUGCGUAGAUAUUGGGAAGAACACCCGGUGGCGAAGG